ACGGGAGGCAGCAGUGGGGAAUAUUGCACAAUGGGCGCAAGCCUGAUGCAGCGAUGCCGCGUGAGGGAAGAAGGUUUUCGGAUUGUAAACCUCUGUCAUCGGGGACGAUAAUGACUGUACCCGAGAAGGAAGCUCCGGCUAACUACGUGCCAGCAGCCGCGGUAAUACGUAGGGAGCGAGCGUUAUCCGGAAUUACUGGGUGUAAAGGGAGUGUAGGCGGGACUGUAAGUCAGAUGUGAAAUAUGCCGGCUCAACUGGCAGACUGCAUUUGAAACUGCGGUUCUUGAGUGAAGGAGAGGUAAGCGGAAUUCCUAGUGUAGCGGUGAAAUGCGUAGAUAUUAGGAGGAACAUCAGUGGCGAAGGCGGCUUACUGGGCUUUAACUGACGCUGAGGCUCGAAAGCGUGGGGAGCAAACAGGAUUAGAUACCCUGGUA
rnacentral:rRNA from 1 species